AUUGAACGCUGGCGGCAGGCCUAAUACAUGCAAGUCGAGCGCAGGAAAUCAUCGGAACCCUUCGGGGGGACGUUGAUGGAAUGAGCGGCGGACGGGUGAGUAACACGUAAAGAACCUGCCCUCAGGUCUGGGAUAACCACGAGAAAUCGGGGCUAAUACCGGAUGGGUCAUCGGACCGCAUGGUCCGAGGAUGAAAGGCGCUUCGGCGUCGCCUGGGGAUGGCUUUGCGGUGCAUUAGCUAGUUGGUGGGGUAAUGGCCCACCAAGGCGACGAUGCAUAGCCGACCUGAGAGGGUGAUCGGCCACACUGGGACUGAGACACGGCCCAGACUCCUACGGGAGGCAGCAGUAGGGAAUCUUCCACAAUGGACGAAAGUCUGAUGGAGCAACGCCGCGUGAACGAUGAAGGCCUUCGGGUCGUAAAGUUCUGUUGUAAGGGAAGAACAAGUGCCGCAGGCAAUGGCGGCACCUUGACGGUACCUUGCGAGAAAGCCACGGCUAACUACGUGCCAGCCGCCGCAGUAA
rnacentral:rRNA from 1 species